GCCGCAGUCCGCGCAGCAAGCGCUCAACCUCCCGCUCCUGACGCUCGCGACGCGGCGCUACGGGCGCUAGCGUCGUCAUCGUGGUCGUCUGCCUCACGCGUGCCUCUCGGGCACCUCGCGGAAAACAGUCGGCUCGCGCGAAGUGUCCGCGCUCGGAUGCUUUAUGCCCCCCGCUGGCGCCGAGGAGGAUACUGUCCUGGCUGGUGAUGCGCACGGACGACUUUCCCCGCUAGCUCUAGGAAGACGCCUCGCCUAGACGGGCUUCCCUGCAAGGGCGUUGGUUUAUCGCGAGCGAGGUAUGGAGUUCUUACUGUGAGUCAAACCCAGGUAGGAACUUCAUACCAUGCUCGCGAUGGAAUGCAACCCACUCAUCGCUCCAAGUCAGCGCCCGACGCCAGCGAUGUCGACGCCAAGGUAUCCAACCGAUCGAGUCGUGGGCCGUGCACGCGCGGGACGCAUGGACGUGGCUUAGUCAUCCCGCAUAGGCCACCUCAAUAAGCCCCUGCCAGCCAUGCAUGCCAUGCCGAGAGCGCGCAUGCCAUCAUUCGCGUGCACGACGCCAAGGAGGCGGUGAGACGCCUUGCACGUCGCGGCGAGAGCGUUGGCGACACGGGUUUGGCGAUGCUGGCUGCGCAGUGGCCGCGCUUUCACUCUCCCUGCGGGCACUCCAUCAGCCGGAAGCCGACAAGCCAUCGUGAUUAGCCAGAAAGAAAAAAAAAAGGAAGUCUUAAGCGCGUUCGCCGCCUUUUACUUCGUAGACAUCUUAGCUCGUCAAAGCUCCAGUGUCAGUGUCCAGGAAAGCAAUUGCAGGUAGGUGCACCGUCAUCUCGCUCGCGUUACGCCGUUGCGGUGAUACUCAAAGACAAUAAAAUUUGCAGUGAACCAAA
rnacentral:lncRNA from 1 species